rnacentral:sRNA from 1 species
GUUUCAAUUCCUCAUAGGCAGGCUAUCGGCUAUCGAUAAUAUUCCAAGGAUAAUAAGGGGAAGGAGG